rfam:Ruminococcus sp. CAG:563 genomic scaffold, scf95
AUCAAUGGUAGAGGCGCAUCGAGCUAUCAGUAACAGGUACUUUUUAAGGUCUUAGCAGGACUUACGGUAUCGGUGAAAGGAGCCGUUGCCGAAGGCAGCCGAGGCUGAAGGCUGUGCUGGUAUGUCGGAAUAAGAUCCGCUGUACUGUCGCUUGUUUUGCGGAGAGCUAUCUUUAAA